ensembl:lncRNA
UUAAACCAAAUGUGUCGCACAGGAUUAUAUAUUUAAUAACUACUACUACUUCUACUAAUUACUAAUGUUUUAAUGCGUAACUGUCAUUUUGAUUCAACAAACAAAACUAAUGAUCAAACAAACAAAUACAUCUACAUUUAGUCAUUUAGCAGACAUUUUUAUCCAAAGCGACUUACAAAUGAGGACAAUGGAAGCAAUCAAAAUCAACAAAAGAGCAAUGAUAUACAAACUACUUCUCACUGCUGUGUGUGUGCACUUGGAUGGGUUAAAUGUAGAGCACCAAUUCCGAGUAUGGGUUACCAUACUUGGCAAAUGUCAAGACUUAAAUGUCACGACUUAAACUAUAUACAAAUAAAUAAAUAAAUAAAUAAAUAAAUGUUUAUUAUUAUUAAUAUUAUUGUUAUUAUUAUUGGUUGUUUGUUAAGAUUAUUAAUAUAUACGUGUAUUUCUUAAUGUUGGGUGUGUUGGAGAUAUGAAAAGAUAUGAACGUGCCACACUGAUUUCAAGAGCCUGUUUCGCAAUCUAGCUUGUAGCUUAUGUAUCCUCCCCCCUGCAGGCGUAUUUAACCCGCUGCCUCUUUAAAGCCACCUGUAGCGGAUCUCUAUCCCCCAAAGGAAAUUAACCUCCGAAAGCCACCGAGUUAACGGACAUAAAGCUCUUGACACGGAAGACAUCUUCUGUUUCCAUUAUUUUUGCAUAUUUUUUAUUUAAUUUUUUUGUAUAAACGGCACUUCAGUAGAGAACCAUGUUACUGUCGCAUCAACUAUUCCUAUUAAUAUUUAUUUCGACUUCAGCUGUAGCCACAUCCCCCACAAGCACAGACUUAACCAGUGAUGCAACAGACAGCCCAAUCACUGAUACUGCUGCAGUAACAAGCAUUUCAUCUGAGAAUAUAACUACACCAUUCGCAAACAAUGCCACAACCUCACUGCUGUCAACGCAUGAUGCUAGUAAUGUCCCAUCUCCACCUUUAUCUACUCAAGGCGACGUGACAAGCUUAUCUACAGUUGUACCAGAAAAUUCUACCAGUUCAUCAGCGAUUACACCAGGAAAUGCCACAGCUUCACCUGCACCUCUAACAACAGAAGCCAGCACCACAAGUCCACUUGUGCCUACACCAGAGAAUGCUACAAACCAUCCUGUAACUUCACCAGACAAUGACACAACUGGUUCUUUACCUGAGCCAGGCAACAGCACAACCCCACUCCAAACUACAAGAAGCAAUGACACUCCUCCUUCCAUUAGCACACCAAGCAACAGUACAGCUUCACCAAUUACAACACCAAGCAAUGUCACAAUUACAACACAGACUACACCAAUUAAUGCUACAACAGCAAACCAUGCCACAACUCCACCCUUAACCACAUAUAUUUCAAAUCAAAAUACACCAGGGAAUAAUGCAACGGUAAAUGCUACCAUACCACCUUUGACUACACCAGUUGAUGCAACUGCACCACCUCCAACUACAACAGGGAACAAUGCAAUAGUAAACGCUACCACACCACCCACAACUACACAAGAAAAUAAUGCAACAGUAAACAUUACUACACCACCCAUGAUUACACCAGGAAAUAAUGCAACAGUAGACAGUACCACACCACCCAUAACUACACCAGUAAAUGCAACUGCACCAACUCCAGCUACAACAGGGAACAAUUCAAUAGUAAACGCUACCACACCACCUAUAACUACACAAGAAAAUAAUGCAACAGUAAACAUUACUACACCACCCAUGACUACACCAGGAAAUAAUGCAACAGUAGAGAGUACCACACCACCCAUAACUACACCAAUAAAUGGAACUGCACCACCUCUAACUACACCAGGGAACAAUGCAACAGUAAAUAAUAGCACACUGCCCAUAACUACACCAGAGAAUAAUGCAACAGUAAACGUUACCACACCACCCAUAACUACACCAGUAAAUGCUACUACACCACCUCUAACUACCCCAGGGAACAAUGCAACAGUAAAUAAUAGCACACUGCCCAUAACUACACCAGAGAAUAAUGCAACAGUAAACGUUACCACACCGCCCAUGACUACACCAUUAAUUACUACUAUACCACCUUUAACUACACCAGGGAAUAAUGCAUCAGUAAAUGGCACCACACCACCCAUAACUACACUUGAGAAUAAUGCAACAGUAAACAUUACCACAACACCCAUGAC